rnacentral:misc_RNA from 1 species
AGCAGCCGCGGUAAUUCCAGCUCCAAUAGCGUAUAUUAAAGUUGUUGCAGUUAAAAAGCUCGUAGUUGAAUUUCGGGAUCAAUAUGUUGGUCGUGCCUUGGUACGUACUGGCGUCAUUGAUUUCUACCUUCUGAAGAACCUCGAUGUCAUUAAUUUGGUGUCUUGGGGAAAUCAGGACUGUUACUUUGAAAAAAUUAGAGUGUUUAAAGCAAGCUCACGCUUGAAUACAUUAGCAUGGAAUAAUGAAAUAGGACGUUUGAUUCUAUUUUGUUGGUUUCUAGGAUCGACGUAAUGAUUAAUAGGGAUAGUUGGGGGCAUUAGUAUUCAAUUGUCAGAGGUGAAAUUCUUGGAUUUAUUGAAGACUAACUACUGCGAAAAGCAUUUGCCAAGGAUGUUUUCAUUAAUCAAGAACGAAAGUUAGGGGAUCGAAGACGAUCAGAUACCGUCGUAGUCUUAACCAUAAACUAUGCCGACUAGGGAUCGGAUGAUGUUAAUUUUUUAAUGACUCAUUCGGCGCCUU